GUAAACUCCGCCUCUGCCACACUGAAGCCAAAUAAUAUGGGCUCCUAGCACUUACCAUGUGCCUGGAUCAAAGGAAAAACUCUCUGUAUAUGUUCAGGCCAAGCUCUCAUCCAGCGAGGUUACUAAAUCUCUGGUUUGGAAGUGGCUACGGGACUGCCUGGGGAGAGGAACGUAUAGCUGGCAGCCAGCCAUUACUGGCACACACCUGUAAGGCUCCUACUUGACUGAUGUGCCCCAGCUUCUUGCCCACAGCGUAGGAUUGAGAUGUUUUCCAGUGGCUUCCGCUCUAGGUCUCCUUUGAUGCUCUGAUAAGUCACUCUCUGAGUGACUCCUUCAGAUUCUAUCUACAGAAGCUCUUCAAUCUCAGGGCUAAGAAAGCGGGCUCCAGCCUCCACAUGCCUGGUUGUUGAGUCUUCCUGGAUCCAGUCUCUGGCAACCUCAGAGAAGGAAAGUUUUUGCUGGAAAUGACAGUGUGGAAAGGUGGGGAGGAACGAGUUCUUGUCUGAUGGCUGCCAACAGGAGAAGGCUGAAAUGGGCAGGCUUGCACAGCCAAUGCCUACUACUAUUUGGACAAAAGAUGUCAACUAAUAUCCAUUAUCUAGAGAUGAGUGCCCCAAACAUGCUUUUGUUCACACUCCCUUCUCCGCGGCUUUCCACGUCAACUCCAGGCUGCCUGGAGGCCCUGGAGUGGCAUUGGCCAUGCUAAGAAGAAUGAUACAGGAAAGAAGGAGAAGAGAUCCAUUGUCAUUUCAGAAGAGAAAGUAGGUCCCAUGCAAACUCAACUUCUUUCAGAACUGAUUGACACAUCAAUUGUGAAAAUUAUGGAAACUGUAGUUAAAGACGAAGAAAAUAAAAAUCAAAACAAAUGCCGUCACCUAAUGAUAACAACUGUUAAUGUUUUGUUGUGCAUCCUUUUGUUUCUCCAUCCCUCUUUAAACAUUUUUCAAAACAAAAAUGUGAUCAUAG
rnacentral:lncRNA from 1 species